UUACAGGCAAUUAUCUAUGAAGGACAAGAUAAAAAUCCAGAAAUGUGCCGUGUUUUAUUAACACAUGAAGUUAUGUGCAGCCGUUGUUGCGACAAAAAAAGUUGUGGAAACCGCAAUGAAACACCAUCAGAUCCUGUCAUUAUUGAUCGAUUUUUCCUGAAAUUCUUUUUGAAAUGUAAUCAAAAUUGCUUAAAAAAUGCUGGAAAUCCUAGAGAUAUGCGUAGAUUCCAGGUUGUCAUAGCCACUCAAGUGAGUGUGGAGGGUCCUUUGCUGGCGAUUUCGGAUAAUAUGUUUGUGCAUAAUAACUCCAAACAUGGUCGUAGAGCCAAACGUUUGGAUACAACGGAAGGUACAGGCAAUUCCUCUCUGUCCAUAACGGGACAUCCCUUAGCGCCUGACAGUACCUAUGAUGGCUUAUAUCCACCGCUGCCUGUUGCCACACCCUGCAUUAAGGCUAUAUCACCAAGCGAAGGCUGGACCACUGGUGGUGCCACUGUCAUCAUUGUGGGUGAUAAUUUCUUUGAUGGUCUGCAGGUUGUAUUCGGCACAAUGCUGGUAUGGAGUGAACUGAUAACAUCACAUGCCAUACGUGUGCAAACACCACCCAGACAUAUACCCGGUGUAGUCGAAGUGACAUUAUCCUAUAAAAGUAAACAGUUUUGCAAAGGUUCACCCGGGCGUUUUGUUUAUGUUUCCCUUAAUGAGCCUACUAUUGAUUAUGGCUUUCAACGACUGCAGAAGUUAAUACCCCGCCACCCUGGCGAUCCAGAAAAAUUGCAAAAGGAAAUUAUUUUAAAAAGAGCAGCCGAUUUGGUGGAAGCUUUGUACUCCAUGCCUAGAUCGCCCGGCGGUUCAACCGGCUUCAAUUCAUAUGCUGGCCAAUUGGCAGUGAGUGUACAAGAUGGUAGUGGCCAAUGGACCGAAGACGACUAUCAAAGAACCCAGUCAAGCAGUGUUAGUCCUCGAGGCGGUUAUUGCAGCAGUGCUUCUACACCCCAUAGUUCGGGAGGCGGUUCUUAUGGUGCUACAACUACGGCAGCUACAAAUGGUUAUGGUCCUACACCAAAUAUGGGCACAUUAUCCUCUUCACCCGGCAGUGUUUUCAAUUCCACAUCAACUUGUGCAUUUUCGCCAUUAAUUCCAACAGUGUCCUCAACCUGGCAUCAGGCUCUGGUACAACAUCAUCACUCGCAUCCACACCACUACCAUCAUCCGCAUCAGCCUUGGCACAAUCCAGCCGUUUCAGCAGCCACAGCGGCCGUUUAAACAGAACGAAGAUCGAACGUCCCAACAGUCGGCACUGGUCCUGAACAACGUUAUACAAAAACGGGGAGUUAGCAGUUUGAGUUUUAAUCCAUUCACUUUGCCCACUUGCAAUACACAAGGCUACAGCAGUUCACAACUAGUGACGUCAACAAAAUAAUAUUACUACUAAUAAAUGACGAUGGGCAGCUUUUUAAAAUAAAACUAAAUAAAAUCUACUGCUUACUAAAAAAUCGUCAUUCUUUAAAAAAAAAAGACACACAAACCGUGCAAUAUUAUUAUUGUCAUUUAUUUAUUUUUUUUUAUUUAAUAGUUUUGUUUUACAAUUUCUGUUCCCUUUAACACACUAACUUUUCAUAGACAUGAUCAAAACAAUAGCAGUUAUAAAAUCUAAACAAAAAAUCUUCUAAUUUGUUUGUAAAUAUUAAAAUUUUUAAAUAUUUUUUGUUCUUUCAUAAGGUUUAAGUAGUUUAAUUGAAUUCAUAUGAAAUUGUUAACAUUUCACAUAAUUUAUAAUGUGUAUUUUUUAUAAAAAAUAGUGUAAACUUUAAAAAAAUCAAAAAUCCCAUAACAAAAAGAAAAUUUUUAAAUAAUUGUAUACGACUUAUUAAAUGCCCUACAUAAUUGUAUACAUGCAAAUUAAUCAAUAAAUAAACAAAGUAACAUAUAGCUAGUAUGUUUGUAUUUCCAACAUAAAUAAAAAAAUAUUAAUAAAUUUUAAAGUAAACAUAUUAAAUAUUAUUAAAAUUACCAACGAUACUAGUAAUAAAAGUUUAAAAUCACCAACUAAUUCACACAAACUUUCAGCCCUAUUACCCUACUACUUACUUUCUUCUUAGUAAGUGGGUGGUAUAAGGUGAAUAUUUUAGGUAUCGUUAUUAAUCUGCAUAUAAAAUUAAUAAUUACAUAAAAAACAUACUACAAUUAGAAUUGUUUAAUUUGUAUAUCAAAAGUUUAAUGCGUAACAACAAUAAAGAAAACACAUUCACAUAUUAAAAAUUUUUUUAAAACAGUUUUCACACAAAUAAAAUAAAUAAAAUCAAUAAAACAACAUUUUAAAAUUUCACCAUAACACUUAAAAUACAAUAUCGUUAUAAUACAUAUCGUUAAAUGCGUUAUACAUACUUAAUUAAUUAAAUAAAUA